rnacentral:lncRNA from 1 species
AAAACACCAACAAAAAUAAAAUCUUUCGGAUAUUGCUAUGCUAGAUACCAAAUUCACACCAUUCCCCACUUCUCAAAAUCCUCACUUUUAGCAUCAAAAUGGAACCAUUUCAAAUAAAAAACGAAUCUUUCUUGAAACCAUAUAGUGGUUCUUCCCUCUACAUUGCUUCCAAGCUCCACCUAUUCCCUCAUUCAGUGAACUGACCCACACCCUCACCACUAGUAAGUAGUAACCAUCAUCGCAAUGAUAACAAUAAUAGUGGCAGUAAUUGCAUGCCCAUGAUUAAUUGGAACGGAGGAUGUUGAAAGUUUCAACCUUUGUUGCCAAGUUGGAGAUACAAUAGAAGCCACAAAAAGGGGUCUAUUGACAAUGAAGCACUCUCUUUCUCUCUCUAAGUGUGUGACUCAGACACAGAUGAAGAGAAAGAUGAAUGCUUAUGGGUAUGCUUAGGUAUUAGCCGACAAUCACAGCUGGUUUAACCAUCUUACUAGCUUUCUUGUUUUUUUCUGCAAAAUUUCCUUUUUUUGUUGGGUAUCUAAACAAAAUAAAAAAACAAAACAAACUAACUAAACUGAAUGAAAGUAAAUAAUUUGCUCAAAGUUUUUCCUAGGAGAAUUCUAAAUAACAUGACUCUCAUUAAUCAAAACUCCAUCACACCCUAAUUAAU